GCAACCAAUGCCGCCUCGCGGCCUCACCGUGCCCGGAGCGUGGCCUGCCGGGAGCUGUAGUUCGCCGCUGGUCUCUAACGGUCCCGCUGGUGGUACUCUUCCCCCCUCCUCUCGGCCUGUCCCCUCCCCCACUCGCUGGCUGCUGUGGGAAGACAGGAGCCGAGGAGGAGGCAGAGGAGGAGGGGGAAGCCGCGCAGCCACCGCCACGGACACCGGGAGCGGGGACGCCGCCGCCGGGGAGACCAGCCACCGUCUCGUUCACCCGCAGUUCUUGAAGUGGUAAGACUACUCUGAAUACAAGAUGUGCUUGAAGAGGGAGUAAUGCUGUGAUACUGCAAAGCAUGAUGUGAUGCAAUUUUCCAUGUCCAUUGUUUCUGAUGGAAGUCACUUAUAAGUUCAUAUGUCUCCCGAAGAUUAUAUUUGCUUGUAUUAGAGGGUUACUAAUGACUUUGAAGUAGAGGAAUCUGAGCUGCAAAUAUAAUACAAGAAACAGAAUUGUGGAAUGCUGUGAAGACUCUAAGUGCCCUGCAGCAUUAGGCAGAUUACUAUCUGGAUUAUCUUCAGCACAACGAAAUUCAUAUACAAGAGAGUUCUCAGUCUUCCACAAUGAAUCCUGUUUACAGCCCUGUUCAACCUGGGGCUCCCUAUGGAAACCCUAAGAACAUGGCCUAUACAGGUUAUCCAACUGGGUAUCCCACAGCUGCCCCUGCCUACAAUCCGAAUAUGUAUCCAACCAGUAGCCCUGGCUAUGCCCCAGGUAAAAACAACUUUUCAUUCUGGAAACAGUUCACGACGUGCUUAAGGAUACAAGAGAGUUUCACUCAUUUGCCCUUUGUUAACUGGCACAUGGAACCCUGCUGUCACCAUAUGUUUUUCAGCAAAUAGUACAGAGACUGUAGUAAACUCCCCCAUUACUUCACAAAAUAUGUCACCACAUGUUUCUCAAUCCCUGUCAUAGGUAUGUCUAUGGCCCCCUCACUACAGCAUCUGAGCUCCCACACAAUCUUUAGUGUAUUUAUCCUCGCGAUCCCUCUGUGAGGCAGGGCAGCACUAUUAUUAUGGGGAACUGAAGAAGUAACUUGCCCAAGGUCACAUAGGAAGUCUAUGGCAGAGCAAGAAAUUGAACCCUGGUCUCCCAAACCUUCAGCUAGUAGCCCAAUCACUGGACCAUCCUUCCUCUCUAGAAUUUAUCAAAAGUAUCAUUAUAAAGAAUUAAAACAGAGCUGCAUUGUCAUAUAGGUGAACACAGAACAUGUUGUAAUGGUGAUAAUCCUAUGUUGUAAUGGAUUAUCCUUCCUUUUCAGUGCGUGCACUUAAUCAAUAAUUGGCAACAUUCAAUAAUUCACAAUAAAUUAUUCCUGCGCAUCAUCAGUGCAAAUUAGCGAGGUUCCACUGGUGAUUAAUUUUGACUAUUCUAAAGUAAUUUUCUUGCCUAAGCAAACCACUUGCGUUUCAUGCAUUUUGAGCCCAAACCUUGAAGUCCUUACUCAAGCUAUAUUCUCCUUGGAGCCAGUAGAAGAUUUCCUUUAGACCCCAAUUCAGGAAAGGGUCCCUAUUCAAGAAAUCACUUAAGUAUGUGCUUAAAGUUAAGCAUCUGCUUAAGAGUUUUUCUCAAUCAGGGUCUCAGGUGGAACAAAUAAAAACCCUUAUUCAUGUUGACUAAUUCCUUACACUAUGAGCAGGCUCUGAGACUUCAGGGGAACUAUUCGUUUUGUAAGGUACUACUCAAUAUGACUGAGGAUGGCAGAAUCAGGGGCUAAAUAAGUGCUUCAGGUAGGGUGACCAGACAGCAAAUGUGAAAAAUCGAGAUGG